AGGGGAGACUGGAAUUCCUGGUGUAGCGGUGGAAUGCGCAGAUAUCAGGAGGAACACCGAUGGCGAAGGCAGGUCUCUGGGCCAAUACUGACACUGAGGAGCGAAAGCGUGGGGAGCGAACAGGAUUAGAUACCCUGGUAGUCCACGCCGUAAACGGUGGGCGCUAGUUGUGCGAACCUUCCACGGUUUGUGCGACGCAGCUAACGCAUUAAGCGCCUCGCCUGGGGAGUACGAUCGCAAGAUUAAAACUCAAAGGAAUUGACGGGGCCCCGCACAAGCAGCGGAGCAUGCGGCUUAAUUCGACGCAACGCGAAGAACCUUACCAAGGCUUGACAUAUACAGGAAUAUGGCAGAGAUGUCAUAGCCGCAAGGUCUGUAUACAGGUGGUGCAUGGUUGUCGUCAGCUCGUGUCGUGAGAUGUUGGGUUAAGUCCCGCAACGAGCGCAACCCUCGUUCUGUGUUGCCAGCAUUAAGUUGGGGACUCACAGGAGACUGCCGGGGUUAACUCGGAGGAAGGUGGGGAUGACGUCAAAUCAUCAUGCCCCUUAUGUCUUGGGCUGCACGCAUGCUACAAUGGCCGGUACAGAGGGCUGCAAUACCGCAAGGUGGAGCGAAUCCCAAAAAGCCGGUCUCAGUUCGGAUUGGGG
rnacentral:rRNA from 1 species